rnacentral:rRNA from 1 species
CCUACGGGUGACAGCAGUGGGGAAUAUUGCACAAUGGGGGAAACCCUGAUGCAGCGACGCCGCGUGAGUGAAGAAGAACCUCGGUAUGUAAAGCUCUAUCAGCAGGGAAAAAAAUGACGGUACCUGACUAAGAAGCCGCGGCUAAUUACGGGCCAGCAGCCGCGGUAAUACGUGGGGGCAAGCGUUAUCCGGAUUUACUGGGUGUAAGGGGAGCGUAGACGGCGCUGCAAGUCCGGAGUGAAAGCCCAUGGCGUAACCAUGGUACUGCUCUGGAAACGGGGGGGCUUGAGUGCGGGAGGGGCAAGCGGAAUUCCUAGUGUAGCGGUGAAAUGCGUAGAUAUUAGGAGGAACACCGGCGGCGAAGGCGGCCUGCUGGACCGUAACUGACGUUGAGGCUCGAAAGCGUGGGGAGCAAACAGGAUUAGAUACCCUAGUAGUC